AUUGAGAGUUUGAUCCUGGCUCAGGAUGAACGCUGGCGGCGUGCCUAAUACAUGCAAGUCGAACGCUUUGUGGUUCAACUGAUUUGAAGAGCUUGCUCAGAUAUGACGAUGGACAUUGCAAAGAGUGGCGAACGGGUGAGUAACACGUGGGAAACCUACCUCUUAGCAGGGGAUAACAUUUGGAAACAGAUGCUAAUACCGUAUAACAAUGACAACCGCAUGGUUGUUAUUUAAAAGAUGGUUCUGCUAUCACUAAGAGAUGGUCCCGCGGUGCAUUAGCUAGUUGGUAAGGUAAUGGCUUACCAAGGCGAUGAUGCAUAGCCGAGUUGAGAGACUGAUCGGCCACAAUGGGACUGAGACACGGCCCAUACUCCUACGGGAGGCAGCAGUAGGGAAUCUUCCACAAUGGGCGAAAGCCUGAUGGAGCAACGCCGCGUGUGUGAUGAAGGGUUUCGGCUCGUAAAACACUGUUGUAAGAGAAGAAUGACAUUGAGAGUAACUGUUCAAUGUGUGACGGUAUCUUACCAGAAAGGAACGGCUAAAUACGUGCCAGCAGCCGCGGUAAUACGUAUGUUCCAAGCGUUAUCCGGAUUUAUUGGGCGUAAAGCGAGCGCAGACGGUUAUUUAAGUCUGAAGUGAAAGCCCUCAGCUCAACUGAGGAAUUGCUUUGGAAACUGGAUGACUUGAGUGCAGUAGAGGAAAGUGGAACUCCAUGUGUAGCGGUGAAAUGCGUAGAUAUAUGGAAGAACACCAGUGGCGAAGGCGGCUUUCUGGACUGUAACUGACGUUGAGGCUCGAAAGUGUGGGUAGCAAACAGGAUUAGAUACCCUGGUAGUCCACACCGUAAACGAUGAGUGCUAGGUGUUUGAGGGUUUCCGCCCUUAAGUGCCGCAGCUAACGCAUUAAGCACUCCGCCUGGGGAGUACGACCGCAAGGUUGAAACUCAAAGGAAUUGACGGGGACCCGCACAAGCGGUGGAGCAUGUGGUUUAAUUCGAAGCAACGCGAAGAACCUUACCAGGUCUUGACAUCCCUUGACAACUCCAGAGAUGGAGCGUUCCCUUCGGGGACAAGGUGACAGGUGGUGCAUGGUUGUCGUCAGCUCGUGUCGUGAGAUGUUGGGUUAAGUCCCGCAACGAGCGCAACCCUUAUUACUAGUUGCCAGCAUUCAGUUGGGCACUCUAGUGAGACUGCCGGUGACAAACCGGAGGAAGGUGGGGAUGACGUCAAAUCAUCAUGCCCCUUAUGACCUGGGCUACACACGUGCUACAAUGGCGUAUACAACGAGUUGCCAACCCGCGAGGGUGAGCUAAUCUCUUAAAGUACGUCUCAGUUCGGAUUGUAGGCUGCAACUCGCCUACAUGAAGUCGGAAUCGCUAGUAAUCGCGGAUCAGCACGCCGCGGUGAAUACGUUCCCGGGUCUUGUACACACCGCCCGUCACACCAUGAGAGUUUGUAACACCCAAAGCCGGUGGGGUAACCUUCGGGAGCCAGCCGUCUAAGGUGGGACAGAUGAUUAGGGUGAAGUCGUAACAAGGUAGCCGUAGGAGAACCUGCGGCUGGAUCACCUCCUU
rnacentral:rRNA from 1 species